AAAUUGAAGAGUUUGAUCAUGGCUCAGAUUGAACGCUGGCGGCAGGCCUAACACAUGCAAGUCGAACGGUAACAGGAAGCAGCUUGCUGCUUCGCUGACGAGUGGCGGACGGGUGAGUAAUGUCUGGGAAACUGCCUGAUGGAGGGGGAUAACUACUGGAAACGGUGGCUAAUACCGCAUAACGUCGCAAGACCAAAGAGGGGGACCUUCGGGCCUCUUGCCAUCAGAUGUGCCCAGAUGGGAUUAGCUUGUUGGUGAGGUAACGGCUCACCAAGGCGACGAUCCCUAGCUGGUCUGAGAGGAUGACCAGCCACACUGGAACUGAGACACGGUCCAGACUCCUACGGGAGGCAGCAGUGGGGAAUAUUGCACAAUGGGCGCAAGCCUGAUGCAGCCAUGCCGCGUGUAUGAAGAAGGCCUUCGGGUUGUAAAGUACUUUCAGCAGGGAGGAAGGUGUUGUGGUUAAUAACCGCAGCAAUUGACGUUACCCGCAGAAGAAGCACCGGCUAACUCCGUGCCAGCAGCCGCGGUAAUACGGAGGGUGCAAGCGUUAAUCGGAAUUACUGGGCGUAAAGCGCACGCAGGCGGUCUGUCAAGUCGGAUGUGAAAUCCCCGGGCUCAACCUGGGAACUGCAUUCGAAACUGGCAGGCUUGAGUCUUGUAGAGGGGGGUAGAAUUCCAGGUGUAGCGGUGAAAUGCGUAGAGAUCUGGAGGAAUACCGGUGGCGAAGGCGGCCCCCUGGACAAAGACUGACGCUCAGGUGCGAAAGCGUGGGGAGCAAACAGGAUUAGAUACCCUGGUAGUCCACGCCGUAAACGAUGUCUACUUGGAGGUUGUGCCCUUGAGGCGUGGCUUCCGGAGCUAACGCGUUAAGUAGACCGCCUGGGGAGUACGGCCGCAAGGUUAAAACUCAAAUGAAUUGACGGGGGCCCGCACAAGCGGUGGAGCAUGUGGUUUAAUUCGAUGCAACGCGAAGAACCUUACCUGGUCUUGACAUCCACAGAACUUUCCAGAGAUGGAUUGGUGCCUUCGGGAACUGUGAGACAGGUGCUGCAUGGCUGUCGUCAGCUCGUGUUGUGAAAUGUUGGGUUAAGUCCCGCAACGAGCGCAACCCUUAUCCUUUGUUGCCAGCGAUUAGGUCGGGAACUCAAAGGAGACUGCCAGUGAUAAACUGGAGGAAGGUGGGGAUGACGUCAAGUCAUCAUGGCCCUUACGACCAGGGCUACACACGUGCUACAAUGGCGCAUACAAAGAGAAGCGACCUCGCGAGAGCAAGCGGACCUCAUAAAGUGCGUCGUAGUCCGGAUUGGAGUCUGCAACUCGACUCCAUGAAGUCGGAAUCGCUAGUAAUCGUGGAUCAGAAUGCCACGGUGAAUACGUUCCCGGGCCUUGUACACACCGCCCGUCACACCAUGGGAGUGGGUUGCAAAAGAAGUAGGUAGCUUAACCUUCGGGAGGGCGCUUACCACUUUGUGAUUCAUGACUGGGGUGAAGUCGUAACAAGGUAACCGUAGGGGAACCUGCGGUUGGAUCACCUCCUUACCUUAAAGAA
rnacentral:rRNA from 5 species